GAUCUUUUCACGGGCAUGCACCGAUGGGCUUGUUUUUGCAACACUAAAGCGCUUUUGUUAGUCUCCCCUUUUCCCUCGACAUGGAGCGCUUUGCAUCCUAAUGCGCUGCAAGCAAAGAAGCCUGCCAGGCGCUGGCUCGGCAGUACGGAGAGGCUGAAGUACAGAGAGAGAGAGAGGAGGACGGUGUUAAUCACUCCAGUCUGUAUGAAAAGGCCAGAGAACUCCUUAGCAAUUCCUCACACACUUCCUUUCUGCACACACACUAUGCCCACUUCCACCACAAUAAAGGACUGGGAUCAAUUUUGAUGUCUGGUUUAUCCUUGAAACACCAUCGGAUUUACGUGUGGGGAUCCCCCUUUUGUGGAUAACACUGUUUUUAUAUGUUCUGACAGCGGAUCACGUGUUUGAUCUCAGCAGGUGAAGACAGAUUAGCUCGGCUACAUUUGAGGAUGGUGAAAGCAAACAACACCUGGAAUAAUUAGACUUAAUUUGUUUCUUCCUUGGGGUUCAUUUGAGGCUGCGGAGCUUUUUUCUCUCUUUUCGGCAGAAGGUGCCAGGAAUUCUUCCCACUUUUAAUCAUUGAAAUGAAGCAAUCAGCGGCUCGAUUGGUGUGACGGUGACUCCGGAUCGCUCGGCUCUGUAAAAAACCUGCCAGAUCCGCGACUCCUCUAUGAGAAGUGGCCGAGUUGAUGGAGGCGGCAUGGAAAGCCGACAGAGAGGUCCUCACGUCUAUCUCAAAUGACAAUCGGGCCAGAGGCAGCGUAAACAUGCAAACUCCACAUUGAACCCAGGACCCAGGAGUUCUACCCAUCACCCUUCGCUUCACCUCCACCAGGUGAGUAUCACCCAACCUUCACAAGGGAUUGCGUAAUGUCCGAGUGUUUUGGUUCAUUCGCGUUAAUAUGAGGCCCUCUGGGUUGUAAAUGUCCCUGUGGCAGUGAUGAAGGGAGCCCUUGGCCGCUGUAGCCGCUCUCCCCAUCCUUUGCCUCGCCACAGACGGGGCCCAGACAUUAUUCGGACCCGAUAAAAGCCCUUUGAUCUGAGCUUAGAGGAGACAUCCACAGCUCCUGCCAAGCCUUAACUCCCAUUGAUCAGCCUCCGGACAGCUGGCACAGGUUACAGGACAAACUCAGUAAAGGUUGAUGAGGAAGGAGUCCGGCCGGUGCCGGUGCCAAGUGUUAUUGUUUAUAGCCACAUAGCUACGGAGCCAGAAGGACCUGGGCACACGGCUACCUGUCGCCACUCGAAGGACACGCGGUUUCCAGCCGCAACCUGCGAUCGAUGCGGAGUCGAGCAAUGUUUGUCCUCCGUCAGAACCAUCUCGCCGCUUCAUCCUUCCCCCGACUGCAGAUUAAGGAGCGGAUGCAAAUUGGGAGUCAUUACAGUCGAUUUGGCUCAAGUACAAUUCUAGCCUGAAGCUGAAGGAACGUUACAGAGCGUGGAUCCCAACUGUCUUCCUCCACAGAUGAACGACGGCCGAAUGGCUUCUGAUGACGCUUGUCUACAUCUUAUUUGGCUCAACGCCGCGCUGCCCCCUGCCUGCUCCAAUUUGCGGAACUGACAUGACAUGCUAAUACUCACAGCAGUGACAUGCUCAAACAUCUCCCAGCAGAUGCUCCUUUGCUCAGCAGGGAAAUCGUCCAUAUACUAAAUACUAACAAACAACAUGGCUGUCAGACUAUAGUGCAUUUUCUAUAUUAUGUUGCAAAUCGGGAUUUGUAUCUAUGACUUCAGCUUCUAAAUUGUUGGGUAUCUUCAAUCCUCUCAAUUCAAAUCAAUGGAUCCAAAAUAUGUGUUAGCAUGUGGCUAGCACAGCUAGAAGAGAUGCACUGAUCUUACCUGCUCACUGUCCAACCACAACAAAUGCUGCGAUGAACCACAGAGCUACAGCGCUGCUUCGGCUGCAUUAUGUCGUAUUAUAUCUCAAUCACUUACAGCCUCAAUCCACUUGUGGGAAAUUUGAAUGAGUCGAUUUCCUCGUGGGCAGCAACAGUUUAAGCACAGACUGUAGUUGUCAUGCUCGACGUGUCAUUUCCAAUCAGGCAGUUCCGCGGCGCUCUCUAACAGCUGCAGACACUGGUCUGAUGGGUGGAUCCCCGAUCGCCCAGCAACCACUCCGUGUCCACAACGCACAGGUAAAAUAGUCACAGCAUCUGUCAGAGUGUUCCGUUAAGGGUGUGUGUGUGUGUGUGGGGGGGGGUACAUCACUUGGCUGAGCAGCCAUCUUUUUGCCCUUGGCCAAUAAACACAUUUUCAUCAAACUUUUACAGUGUACCCAGAGCAGAUAACGCAUGCCAUUGGGAAGCUUCACUGACCCGACGCUUGAGCUCCAGGUCAGUGCUGCUUUGGUGUAUUUGUCUCUUCAGCUCCCAACAAAUAAAACAAUGUCUGAGAUAUUAUGCAUCUAAACUAUUCUAACUACCACCAUGACGGAGUUACAGCACCGUGACCUGAGUUGUGUAACUUCCACAGAAGCAUAAAUAAACAUAACUAGUCUUUGA